GACGUAGGGCGCGAGCGUUGUCCGGAAUUACUGGGCGUAAAGGGCUCGUAGGCGGCCAACUAAGUCGGACGUGAAAUCCCCAGGCUCAACCUGGGAACUGCGUCCGAUACUGGAUGGCUUGAAUCCGGGAGAGGGAUGCAGAAUUCCAGGUGUAGCGGUGAAAUGCGUAGAUAUCUGGAGGAAUACCGGUGGCGAAGGCGGCAUCCUGGACCGGCAUUGACGCUGAGGAGCGAAAGCCAGGGGAGCAAACGGG
rnacentral:rRNA from 1 species